UGCUGGAUUGCUGAGUCACCUUUGGCGGGAGGCUGCCCUUAUCUCCUAAGAUGCACAACAUUCAGGCAGUUGGUUGCAAAAGGAGGAACUUUGGGCAGGAGCGCUGUGGCCUGCUGUGUCUUCACGGCCACAUCACGGAUUGCAGCAACGCUCACCGACUUCCUCACCGCCCGCGUUUCUCUGAAAAAGAGGUGGAGGAUGGGGAACCCGACCACAGGAGGGCUGCUGCAUGUCGUCACGCAGCGAGCCGUUGAUGGAAGUGCGGGUCUCAGGGAAGGGUUGCAAGGGGUCACGGUGGUCACCAUUCGAGACAUGGGCGCCGCACGUCCAAAAGCCGGACUGUCAAGACAUCAAACAUUUAA